GGGUAAUCAAGCCUUAAGGUUUCUGGUUACUUGAAAAGACCGAGAGAUGGCUUUUUUUUAAAGAUUUAUUUAUUUAUUAUAUAUAAGUACACUGUAGCUGUCUUCAGACACAUCUGAAGAGGGCAUCAGAUCUCAUUACGGAUGGUUGUGAGCCACCAUGUGGUUGCUGGGAUUUGAACUCAGGACCUCUGGAAGAGCAGUCUUAACCACCGAGUCAUCUCUCCAGCCCCGGAGAGAUGGCAUUGGAAGUGUGAUCUCAAAUAAAUCUUUCUUUUUGCCCAUGGAGUGGUCUAGUCCAGUAGUCUUUCUAUGCUAUCAGUUACAAUCAGUAAUGAAAAUGGGUUUGCAAUUUAGGUCUUCACAGCCAAUGAACUGCCUCCAAACCCGAUGUGUGAGUCUCCUGCAAAAAAACCCAACCCCAUGUUUGUCAUGCUCAGCACAGUUAUUCUCAGGGCUGCCCUAGCUCAGUAUACUAAAACUGCAGUUUUCUGCUUCCCAGAUCCCUGUUUCACUGACAUUUGAUCCCUGGUCUGUUGUGUUUUCCUUAGAUACUUCAUGAUUUAAUUUGUGAUGUCUCUAUCCUCUCCUUUAUACCCUUUUUGGUCAUUUCCUUUAUGUGAAGGAGUUGAGACCAGUUGGUACCAUGGAUAUCAAGUAUGAGCAAAAACUCUGUGUGUGUGUGUGUGUGUGUGUGUGUGUGUGUGUGUGUGUUUCAAGGUGGGGAUUCUCUGUAUAUCCCUGGCUGACCUGACUCAUAGACCAGGCUAGCCUCAAACUCAAAGACUCUGCCUCUGCCUUCCAGUGAUAGAAUUAAAGCUAUGAGCCACCACUGCCCAACUCAAAAACUUCUUUAAAGGAUCGAUGUUUGCAGAGACUGACUUAGAAUCUCAGUGCUGUGCGGAGGUUGGAAUGUUGCAGGUCUAGCAGGGACGUUGCCUUAUCUUGGGCUAGUGUCAGCCCUCGGAACACCUGUUCCUUGCUCACCUCUGUGUCAGAAUGAAUGUCCCAUGAUGAACAGAUAGAAAAUCUUUGGUAUUUAUAACUGAGCAAACUGUUGGCUUCCACCAGCCCAAACUAUCACCAGAAAGCAACUUAGACCUCUAGAAAAGCCCCCCCUUAUCUGUCUCAGUGUAUGUACCCAACAAUGUAGUUUAAAUUUGCCUUGAUAGAUGACAUUUUUUUGUUCUGUAAAACUAUAAAACAACUUCAUGGAUCUGAUUCUACACUGGAACAUGGACUUGAUGACCCAAAUCUGUGUUCCUAGGGCCAUGGUCACUCAAAAUGGCUCCAGCAGUAACUGUUUCUUAUUCCCUUUAAGACAAAAACAUCUCGUAAAACGUGAAGAAGCCAUGCUGGCUCACAACCAUCUGUAAUGGGAUCUGAUGCCCUCUUCUGGUGUGUCUGAAGACAGCUACAGUGUACUCAUAUACACAAAAUAAAGUUUUAAAAAGUAUUUAAAACUAUGAGACAGAAUAAGCAUGCCCUCCUACUUUAUCACAGUGAUUUGGAAAGUGACUAGCGUACCAACCUUGCUCAAAUCCCCAAGACUGCUAGAGAAGCAGAUGCGCAUGCGUUCUGGUCAAGGCGGACGGCUGCUGUGAACGCAUGCCCCUGGGUACAAGCAGCCGUUGGUACAAGGAGCUCUGCUCCUUGACACUGAACUAGUUAGAGCACAACCCUUGACUACAGGCCCCUGCGCCUCAGUGCUGGCUCAGUGCCUUUUCAAUGUUGUCUCUAACCAUGUCACAUCCAGAAAGCAGGUUUGACGAGAGACGCUGCGAGGGGGCUUGAUCACGUGACUUUUCUAAAGCGAUGAAGUGAGAAUCCAAGGCUGCGUCCACACUCACAUAGCUAGCCAUGUUCUGCAGGGAGAGAAUUCAUCACCCUCAGGUUGUAUUUUUCUCCCGUUCUUUCUUUUUCUAAAUACUACUUUAAUACUUUGAGGGUUUCCUACAAUUUUGAUCAUAUUCACCCAUCACCCCAACUCUUUCUGGAACCCCUCUCUCCAUCCUCACCUCAUCCUAUCCAUCCAACUCUGAAUCCCACCCCAUCAGGUCCAGUUUGUGUUACCAAACAUCUCCCAGAAGUGGGGCCUGCCCUGGCAUGUGGUUGACAUCAUUAAAGAAAACUGACUAGUCCUCUCCCAGCUGGUAUCAAAUAUCAAUAGUUCCUCAGCUCUUGGUGGGAUUUUGAGCCCACUCCCUGUCUCCUGGAGUUUUGUUGGGCUUGUGGUCCCCUUUCUCAGAACAGUAAGGAUGACACAAAUCGCUUACUGAGCCUCCCUGCCCAUUCUUUAAUGGGAGCCAAGACUUCCAGCAAGCUAAAUAAGUGCUCUGCCACUGAGCUAUGUCUUCUGGCCCUAACCAGUUCCCAAGAGGGUUGAGCUGCCUGUGACAGACAAAGUCCACUUAUUUGAUGGCAGAAGUGAACCCAUCCAUUCAGGGCUUCCACCCUGCCCAGCAUCAAGU
rnacentral:lncRNA from 1 species